rnacentral:rRNA from 1 species
AGUUUGAUCCUGGCUCAGAUUGAACGCUGGCGGCAGGCCUAACACAUGCAAGUCGAACGGUAACAGGAAGAAGCUUGCUUCUUGCUGACGAGUGGCGGACGGGUGAGUAAUGUCUGGGAAACUGCCUGAUGGAGGGGGAUAACUACUGGAAACGGUAGCUAAUACCGCAUAACGUCGCAAGACCAAAGAGGGGGGACCUUCGGGCCUCUUGCCAUCGGAUGUGCCCAGAUGGGAUUAGCUAGUAGGUGGGGUAACGGCUCACCUAGGCGACGAUCCCCUAGCUGGUCUGAGAGGAUGACCAGCCACACUGGAACUGAGACACGGUCCAGACUCCUACGGGAGGCAGCAGUGGGGAAUAUUGCACAAUGGGCGCAAGCCUGAUGCAGCCAUGCCGCGUGUAUGAAGAAGGCCUUCGGGUUGUAAAGUACUUUCAGCGGGGAGGAAGGGAGUAAAGUUAAUACCUUUGCUCAUUGACGUUACCCGCAGAAGAAGCACCGGCUAACUCCGUG